AACACAUACAAACAAGAGGAGGUACAGCCCGGCACUUAUUAUACUCAUUAGCUGUGAUUAGGUCCUGUGUUUUCAGAUUAAGUAAUAACGCAAGCUUCCGUUGUGCUUUAUUUAUUCUUAAAAUUACAAGAAAAAUGCAUGGGCUCAAAGUAGGAGGCAGGGCAUGGGAAUGAAAAAGAAUUGUUACACCAACGCGGGAGUGUAACGCUCUCCGGAGCACGGCUAUUCACGAAGAAUGUUCACCUUUUCAUAGUUUGAUUUUUCUCGGAGCUCUUACACUACGUUACCUGGAGAGGUUAAUCUAGGUCUCUUUGUAAGCCCUCCAGUCCUUCAACUUUGGUACCUCAUUAGCUGUUAUUUCUGUACAAGGCACUGCUAUUGUGUUUCGCAACAUUCUCGUGAACAGAAAGCCCUUUCUUUGAUAACAUUUCAGUCCUCACGUCUCGGUCACUGCAUCUUUGGAAUAUAAUAAGCAAUUCAUCCGAUCAGUUGAGCUCCCAAAUAAAUUUGGUGAAAAGUACAGCAAAAUGAGUUACAACUGUAAGGCUGCAGGCACACCUUACUUUUGUCUCGAUUCUUGAGAUCCAUAUGCUUUAAUGACGAGAAAACUGGAGGGCAUGAAAAGUUUCGGAAACAAAGGCAAACGGGAAGACUCGAUGUAACAAAAGGCUUGUAGGAUUACAGCGCUGUUGAGGCGAUACUUGGGACAGCCCCGAGAACCGCAGAAGACCGCACGAGGACUUUGUGUGACAGCUGGGAGUACAAUCACCGCUGAUUAAUGAGCCAAAAUUAGCAGAAAGGUCUUUGAAAGUUACCAUGGGAAAUAUUUAUUGUCCGGAUUGCCAUAAAACUGAAGGGCAUAUCAUGUUUAGAGAAGAGAGUCAAGAUAAAAUGCCUACGAACACACCCAAAGAAUCCCAACUACGACAUCUGUCCAACCAAAUGCUGUCAAAGAGACUGAAGGUCAUGGUCCAUACGAGGCUAUUUUGGGAACCAGGCACUGUAUACAGAUGCCUUUGAGAGACCUGCCUCCCAAGAGGCCCCUGCCUUGCAAGUAAAGUGUUCUUCCAUUUUCCUUUUCCCACCCACGAACCUGAGUGGCUACCUUCCGUGAGGCGAAUUACAUGGAAAAAGAACAUGGGUGUGCCCUUAAAAACCGGCACAACACCCUUCUUCUUAGCCAACAUCACCAAAGCGCCUUCAGGAGCCAACAUUACCAAAGAUGGCCACGCAGACCGAAACAUCCUCGACGUGGCUCACUCCCUCCUUUUCAAGCGGUAAGGAGAUUUCAUGGUUAGUCAACUGGGUUGAGAGCCUAGAGCUCAUUUCCACUAACGAGCUGAUGUGCUGACCACGGUCACGGCAGCCUGCAAUCACUGACUCGUGAUUCUUCCCAAGACCAAGGGUGAGGGGCUUGGCACAUGUGACUCAGAGGCGCAGUGAGGGAAAAGCACCGUUUGUGCAUCUCCAAAAAUGCAUAAUUAGGAAGGAGAAGCUCCUUUGCAGCCCCAAUCUAUUAAUUCAGCUCUAAUCAGUGAAAUACAGAAGUGGGGAGGGCGACUUGAAGUCCAAGGACAGCACCUGACAUACAGCCCUGCCCUCACGUGUAUUUCAGGAUCUCCCCCAUCAAGAGGUGGAGGCUGGGCUGGGGAUUAUACUGUGAGCUGACAGAAGCCUGCGAGAGAGGUGUGGCCUGACUUUGAGGUGACGUCAGCAAAGAGCAAGGCUGAGGAUGUUUUAGUCCUGGGGGCCGCAUGCACUCUGCCGCGGGCUCGUCCUCACGAGUCAGCCAGUCGGUUCUGCUGAGUGAAAUAAACACGGGUGUCUGCUUGUAAGUUCCAGGGAAGGCCUGGUAAUUUUACUCUUGCCUUCUGUGUGCCUUUCCUGGUCCCCUAUUCCAUGCAGAUCUAACCCACCAUCAGCAGCUAUUACACCCCGAAUGUGUCCUCCUCCUGGGACGGGGCACUGAUCUCUCGUCCUGCCCCUUUGGCCUCCUUUCCCAGCUGGCUCCUCUGUUCACCUUCUGCUUCCUACUCAGUUAACCAGCCGCAGCUCACGCCUUGAUGCUGGUCUGACAGACAACGGUGUGACUCAGGCAAACGGUGGCCAUGCAGGUUUUAGUGUUUUCGUGGCAACAAAUGACUCUGUGCUCAGAGACUGCUGCCUGGGGUGCCUGUUGUGUUUCAAGUGAUCGUGAACCACCCAACACGUGAAACACGUCUCCCGAUCCACGAGAAGUAGGGAUGGAAUGCCAGAACCCACUCCAGAGGAAUCUCACAACUAUUUAGGACAGGUGACAUUCUUCUUAGACCUCCCAAAUUAACACACGUAUUAUAUGUGUUUAUAAAGUACCUCUUCUCAGGAGGCAGUGCAUUCUACCCUCGCAUGCCUGUGGCAGUGCAAUCUUCUUUGUCAGCCAGAGUCUCUCAAGCGGUGGCUAUGGAGAGGGACAGGAUAAGAAGUGCUUUGCUUCCCUAGGAAGGAAGCGCAGGUCCAUGGAGGAUGAACCAGCAGGGACUCCGCACGCCCACCGUUUCUGCAAGGUGGGACCCGGCUGCCGAGUAUUACAGAUGAACUCUGUGUGGCAGAAAAUUGCUCCUCUCUAGAAUUAGCUUAUUCUGGCCAGAAAAAAACUGUGCUAAAAAUAGCACUAACUCCAUUCAUCCUCUUACAGCCCGGGACAUAUUAAUUCUACGUAAGUCUCACUCAUGUGAGAUUUUCUGGCAGGUCUUUGAGAGCUGAUGGGACGGAAAACACACAGUUGCCCACACAAAGAUACUGGCGAACAAAAGACCUCCUCAUAUGCCGUUCGCAGCUUUACCUCCUUCCCGACCUGUCCCAGAUGCUCAGGUCACCCAGAUCCCUUUUAGAACGUCUGCAAGGAAAUCUGGGAGGGUGGCAGCAUCUGCAGUGACAGAGGAGCUCCGCCCUCUUGAGCACCGGGGAAACCUAUCGAUUCCGCUGCGGGAGGUAGGUGUGCACACACAGUCAGUGUGGUCUUUAAAGCCAACUGUAAUCAAUUCCCAGGAUGGCGGUACUGGUGAGGACUGUUCCCGCCAGCACACAGGCCAUCGCACUGUGCUGUGCACACACAGUCCCCGGGAUCUGGUGCAAAUCCAGGUACAGGGAGAGGCCCGAGAGCCGGCACAAUGAACACAGUCCUGACGGUUCCGGGGCUGCUAGCCGCGGACCAGGCUCUGAACAGCAAGGCUACCUGUACCUGCGGGAGGGUCAUCAGCAGGUGCGAGGGCUCCCGCACAGCCAGAUGAGCAGGAGGAAACAGGUUAAUCGCCACCACCUUACUCUUGGGGCUGAUGGCGGUCAUUCUCCAAUAGUGGUUCUCGAACCUGAACACUGGGAUCACCUGGAAAGCUUUAAAAAUACCCUGAGAGAUUCUUCUUUAAUCUGCCUGAGGCAUGGCCUGGGCAUGUGUCAUUUCAAAAGCUCCCCAGUCGGGGCUACUAAUCACAGAACUAGCUCUAGAUGCAAAUGGACUCAAACUUAGGACCACUUUGGUUUUUUCUUCAUCCCUUCUGUAAAAAUUUGUCUAGUUCCUGUGUCAUUUUAGGUAAAUGGCCAGGAAGAAUAUUAUGACUAUCAGAGUCUUUUCUCAGAGGGUAGAAAUGAGAAAAGGAAUCACCACGCUCAGUGGCCUCACAUCAUACAGUGUAAUGUCACCGACAGAUGGGUCGUAGGGGCCCUGAACCGCUGCUUCUUUAAGUGACGUGUUUGGCAUAAUCUCGUACAGAAAUCGUGGGGGCCUGAGACGCUGACAAGACCAAGAGGCUGGGAGUCGGCAGAUACAUGUUGCUGUCCCAUCCCGACCUCGCCACCGAACUGUUCUGGGCUUUUGCUUCCUCAUCUGUCAUCCGAAGGGCAGCAGUACUAUCUCCAAAAAAAAACUUUUAGCUUCCACAGUCCAUGACCUCUGAUGAAAUAGGGUCUAUUUUCCUCAGCAUGCCCUCUCUUCCUCUGCUGAUCCAGAGAACCGCAUUCAACUAGACAGAAAUCUACUGAGAUUAGCCCCAGGAUUUCCUAGGUCUGGGACUCUGAUCUUCUUUACUGAUGAUAUUUAGUUUUGGUUAAUGACCUCCAGGGGUUUUACAUUUGGGCAAUGCUGAGUCAGGGACAGGUUGGGCAACACAGUGAUUAGGAUUCUCUAAUAAAUGCCUCAGAGGCACGUAAUGA